UCAUCCUCCUCUUGUGGAUCCAUUUACAUAUUGAUGUAUUUAUUCCCCUCUCUCCAGGCAGGCCCCGUGAGAUUAAAUAUUUUAUUUACAAAGACAUUGGGGUUGCAGCUCCUAACAAUUCAGCCAAGCUGGAACUUUGCUGGUGCUCACAGAUUGAUGUGUGAGCAGAGGAAUCGGCCUCGUCAGCGAUUUGGGAGCAGCCAGGGGGGACUGGCUCAGCCCCAUCCCUGUGAACCACUCAAUAGCUGCUGCAGCUGGGGAAAAUGAAUUGGGGUGGUGGGGGCACCAACGUGCAGAAGGGAGAGAUAACGAGGCAACAGAAGGAGAUGGAUAAAACCAGCAGGAGGAACUUUGCCAGCAGGGCUCACCUUCAAAGGAUGGUGCCCCAGAGUGGUUUGUGCCUCCUGGGAACUCCUGGGAGCUGCUCCUGCUCCAUCUCCCCCAUCCACACCAGGCACACAAGGCUCCAGCACGGGUUCCCGUUGGAUCCUGUGCUCCCCACCAGGUGAAACACCUCCAUCACAGCACCUCAGGCUCCUAAACACCCGAGCUGCAAAGCCACCUGCCCAUUCAGUAUAAAUCUGGCGCACUAUUGCCUCUCCCUGACAGCAGCUUUAUCCAGCACCACCGUUCUUCCCAGCAACUCUGACAUUUCAGGAUUAUAUUUAGAGACCUGGAUGGGAAUUUGAUUUUUGGAAUGGAAGUUUUCCACGGCACCCUGUCAUAUAAAUAUUCCGCAGUGCCUGCUGUCGGGGUGUCGGUGCAGAGCGAGCCCGUGCCGCUGCCUCUAAUUAAACAGGCCCAAGGAAAGGCACUGAAGAGUGCUGGAACCAUCUUAAAAGUCAGCACGUGUCUCCCUAUUAAUUCUCACCCUGAUCUUUUGCAUAGCGCUAACGCCAGGCUAAUUAAUCACUGGUGUGAGCUCGAGCAUUAAUUGGAACAAUGAAUCUUUUUUUUUGUCUGUUCCUGGCCACUUCUAGCCUAUCGGAAUGCAGCUAGUGCCAUUACCUUAAUAAUUAUUAUAAAUAUAAAGCCAGCAGCACGCGCUACAUUUGGUAGGCAUUAAAAAAGACGUGGUAUUUGGCGUGGAGCAUUAACAAUCCGGUGCAUGUUCAGGGGAGUGAUGGAUGCAGCUCCCUGAAUGACUUUAACUCAGGACACCUCAUGCAGGUGCUGGGGAAAGCAGGGAUCCAGAGCCUGGAUCAACACGCUUCAGCAGGUCCUGGCCACUCGUGGCUUGUUGGGACUUCCAGGGUGCCAGGGAUGGAAACACCUCCACGACCUGCACGAGGCAGGAGAAGCUGCUGACGGAGCUGUUCCGAGGGAGCAGAUGAUAAAUGUGCAGAAUGACUCAGGUGCGCCCUGCGUCCUGCCCAGGAAAUGCACCUGCAUGCAGAGCACCCGCCAGGGAUGUGGCAGCGACAGCUCCAGCACCGGGGUCAGGACUGCCACUCCAGGCUUCCACAAAGCCACAAGGAAGAGAACAGAGCUUUUCAGGGAGGAAACAAAAGCUAAAAUGUGAACAGCUAUAAACCCCCAAUUUGUCACCCAGAGGACAGCAAGUAUUUCCUUUCCUUGCCAGCCUGGAGGCUGGGGAGAAGCAGAAGUGGCUGAAGGAGAGCUCAAGAAGCGUGAAAUACACCGCGAGCGCUGCCGCCGUCCCCGGAGCACAAUGCGAGAACAACGAGGGCACUGAGAGCGGGGCCGCCGCUCCUCCCGGGCGCUGCAUUCACAUCCACGGCACUGCCAGGAGAACCCGAGGCACGCAUUCCCUCCCCGGGAACGGGGAGAGCUGCGGGCCCUGUGGGAAGCUCCCGCCUCCCUCUCCGCAAUCGUUCCCCCCUCUGCCGCUGAAUCACCGAAUCAUCGGGAGAGCCGUGGGAAGGGAAUUAAAGGGUGGUUAUCACG